rnacentral:rRNA from 1 species
CAGCCACACUGGAACUGAGACACGGUCCAGAUUCCUACGGGAGGCAGCAGUGGGGAAUAUUGCACAAUGGGCGCAAGCCUGAUGCAGCCAUGCCGCGUGUAUGAAGAAGGCCUUCGGGUUGUAAAGUACUUUCAGCGGGGAGGAAGGUGCUGAGGUUAAUAACCUCGGCAAUUGACGUUACCCGCAGAAGAAGCACCGGCUAACUCCGUGCCAGCAGCCGCGGUAAUACGGAGGGUGCAAGCGUUAAUCGGAAUUACUGGGCGUAAAGCGCACGCAGGCGGUCUGUCAAGUCGGAUGUGAAAUCCCCGGGCUCAACCUGGGAACUGCAUUCGAAACUGGCAGGCUGGAGUCUUGUAGAGGGGGGUAGAAUUCCAGGUGUAGCGGUGAAAUGCGUAGAGAUCUGGAGGAAUACCGGUGGCGAAGGCGGCCCCCUGGACAAAGACUGACGCUCAGGUGCGAAAGCGUGGGGAGCAAA